rnacentral:lncRNA from 1 species
UGUCCAAGGCAUGUAACUGCAUUUUGUCUGUCGGAUCGAGUUUAAAAAGUUUAGAUCAAGCCUAAUCUUAGUCAAAAACACUAUCAUCCAUCUGAUCGUGCGUUAGAUUGGAUUUUAGCCAUUGGAUGGUGCUAAAAACUCCUCUCUGUUUCUAUUUUCUAGCCACAGCAAAUGCUGACCAUUGGAUUGCCCUUGAAAAUCACUACCAACUAUUGGAUCAUGCAUUGGAAGUGGGCCACCAUCGAUGGAUAUGGGAUUGCUCAUUUCUAGCCAUCUGAUCG